UACGUAGGGACCAAGCGUUGUUCGGAUUUACUGGGCGUAAAGGGCGCGUAGGCGGCGCGGUAAGUCACUUGUGAAAUCUCUGAGCUUAACUCAGAACGGCCAAGUGAUACUGCAGUGCAAGAGUGUGGAAGGGGCAAUCGGAAUUCUUGGUGUAGCGGUGAAAUGCGUAGAUAUCAAGAGGAACACCUGAGGUGAAGACGGGUUGCUGGGCCAACACUGACGCUGAUGCGCGAAAGCCAGGGGAGCAAACGGG
rnacentral:rRNA from 1 species